GCCAACGUAGCUCAGGGGUAGAGCAAGUGAUUCGUAAUCACUAGGUCGUCGGUUCAAUUCCGACCGUUGGCUCCA
rnacentral:tRNA from 1 species